AGCUGCCCGCAGAACCGCCCGCCGUUCCUUUUCCUAUGCAUAUACUUCUUUGAGGGUCUGCCUAAAGAGGUAUAGGGCAUGGGAAAAUGGGGCGGUCCGGUCCCCCAGUGGCACUUG
rnacentral:pre_miRNA from 8 species